rnacentral:lncRNA from 1 species
GGCAAAUACUCCCGUCCACUUGAGUGUGCACUCCUGUUUCAUCACACCGGACAUAACUGGACUUCCAACCAUCCCGGAGAGUAGAAACCUGACGGAGUACUUCGUAGCUGUGGAUGUGAACAACAUGCUGCGGUUGUACGCCAGCAUGCUGCACGAGAGGCGCAUCAUUAUUACCUCGAGCAAAUUAAGCACUUUAACUGCCUGUCUCCAUGGAUCGGCCGCUCUGCUCUACCCGAUGUACUGGCAACACAUAUAUAUCCCUGUGCUUCCUCCACACCUGCUGGACUACUGCUG